GAUGAACGCUGGCGGCGUGCCUAAUACAUGCAAGUCGAGCGAACGGACGAGAAGCUUGCUUCUCUGAUGUUAGCGGCGGACGGGUGAGAAACACGUGGAUAACCUACCUAUAAGACUGGGAUAACUUCGGGAAACCGGAGCUAAUACCGGAUAAUAUUUUGAACCGCAUGGUUCAAAAGUGAAAGACGGUCUUGCUGUCACUUAUAGAUGGAUCCGCGCUGCAUUAGCUAGUUGGUAAGGUAACGGCUUACCAAGGCAACGAUGCAUAGCCGACCUGAGAGGGUGAUCGGCCACACUGGAACUGAGACACGGUCCAGACUCCUACGGGAGGCAGCAGUAGGGAAUCUGCCGCAAUGGGCGAAAGCCUGACGGAGCAACGCCGCGUGAGUGAUGAAGGUCUUCGGAUCGUAAAACUCUGUUAUUAGGGAAGAACAUAUGUGUAAGUAACUGUGCACAUCUUGACGGUACCUAAUCAGAAAGCCACGGCUAACUACGUG
rnacentral:rRNA from 1 species